AGCUCCAUCGUUACAAUGGCCUCUUUAGACCCAGCUCCUGCCUCCCAGCCUUCUCUCUAGGCCCUGAACUUUCUCAAGUCGACGUCACCAGGCCCAGCUCAUGCUUCUUGGCAGCCUCUCCAGGCCCAGCUCUUCCUCCCGGCGGCCUCUGCAGGCCCAGACUGUCAUCAAGUCGGCCUGUCCAGGGCCAGCUCCUGCCUCCCGGCGCCCUCUGCAGGCCCAAGUCGUCCUCAAGUUGGCCUCCCCAGGCCCAGCUCCAGCCUCUCGGCGGCCUCUCCGGGUGCAAAAGUUCCUCGAGUCAGCCUCUCCAGGCCCAGCUCCUCCUGCCUCCCAGUGCCUCUUUCGGCCCAGCCCAGCUCAUGCCUCUGGGCGGCCUUCCCAGGCCCCGCUUUUGACUUUUGGCGGCCUCUGCAGGCCUCGACAAGGCCCGGCCUCCUGCCUCCCGAAGCCUGCACAGGCCCAGCCUCUGCCUCACAGCAGACUCUCCACGCCCAGCUAGCUCUCGCCUCACUGCGGCCUCCCCAGUCCAAAGCUCCUGCCUCUCGGCCGCUUCGGCAGGCCCAGCUCCCGCCUGCCAGUGCCUCUUCAGGCCCAUGGGGCUCAUUCCUCACAACGGCCUUUCCAGGCCCCGUUUUUCCCUUCCGGCGGCCUCUCCGGGCCCAGAACCUCCUCAAGUUGGCCUCUCCAGACCCACUUGCACCCUCCGGGCGUCCUCUCCAGGCCCAGCUCUUCCUCCCGGCUGCGUCUCCAGGCCCGACUCCUGCCUCCCAACAACCUCUUUGGACUCAGUGCCUGCCCAUCUCCUGGCGGCCUUGGUCGGCCCACAGCUUCCUCAAGCCAAGCUCCCCAGGCCCAGGUCAGGCCUCACGGUGGCCUCUCCAGGAUCAGCUCCUGCCCUCCGAUGGUGUCUCCAGGCCCCAAAUGGUCUCCGGCCAGUGGGCUCCUCCACGCCCAGCUUGGGCCUCCCGGCGACCUCUGCAGGCCCAAGUCGUCCUGAAGUCGGCCUCUCCCGGCCCUGCCUCCCAGCAAGUAAGCAAGCUUUUUUGGCUUAGCUCCUGCCCAGCUCCCAACCGCCUUUGCUGCAGAAACUUUGGGGUCUACAAACGCCGGCGAGAGCUGAGCCGAAAGAGCUUGCUUGCUGGGAGGCAGGAGCUGGGCCGGGAGAUGCAGCCAGGAGGAACAGCUGGGCCUGCAGAGGCCGCCAUGCGGGAGGCAGAGGCUGGGCCUCCUCAAGUUGGCCUCUCCAGACCCACUUGCAGCCUCCCGGCGUCCUCUCCGGGCCCAGCUCUUCCUCCCGGCUGCGUCUCCAGGCCCAACUCCGGCCUCCCAACAAGGUCUUUGGACUCAGCUCCCCCGCAGCUUCCAGCGGCCCUGGUAGGCCCACAACUUCCUGAAGCCAAGCUCCCCAGGCCCAGCUCAGGCCUCACGGUGGCCUCUCCAGGCUCAGCUCCUGCCCUCCGACAGCGUCUCCAGGCCCCAAACGGCCUCCGGUCGGUGGGCUCCUCUAGGCCCAGCUUGGGCCUCCCGGCAGCCUCUGCAGGCCCAAAUCGUCCUGAAGUCGGCCUCUCCAGGCCCAGCUCCAGCCUCCCGGCGGCCUCUGCAGGCCUAAGUCGUCCUCAAGUCGGCCUGGAAAUGGGCCUGGAAGAGCUGCAAGUCGGCCUCCCCGGGCCCAGCUCCGUCCUCUCGGCGGCCUCUCCAGGUGCAAAACUUCCUCGAGUCAGCCUCUCCAGGCCCAGCUCCUCCUGCCUCAGUGGCCUCUUUCGGCCCAGCCCAGCUCAUGGCUCUCGGCGGUCUUCCCAGGCCCCGCUUUUGACUUUUGGUGGCCUCUUCAGGCCCAGAACUUGACCUCCAGUCGGCCUUUGCAGGCCCGGCCUCCUGCCUCUCGAAGGUCUGCAUGGGCCCGGCCUCGGCCUCACAGCGGACUCUCCACGCCCAGCUAGCUCUCGCCUCACUGCACCCUCCCCAGUCCAAAGCUCCUGCCUUUCGGCCACUUCGGCAGGCCCAGCUCCUGCCUGCCAGUGGCCUCUUUAGGCCCAGCUCAUUCCUCACAACGGCCUUUCCAGGCCCCGUUUUUCCCUUCCGGCAGCCUCUUGGCCUCUAAUUUUUUUAUCUUUUGUGUAUAAAUCCCAAAUUAUGGAAUUUUGGAAUAUUUCCACCAUUAUAUAAAUAUUUUGGUAGGU
rnacentral:lncRNA from 1 species